CAAGAAAAUAGUGAGAGAGAAAAGUUGAGAGGAGAUAAAAGAAGCCACCGCGAAAUCUCGUCGGAUCGCCGCCGGAAUCCACCUUCAGUCGAGACCUUAACAUAAGAACUCCCUGCUUGGAAGGACAGAUGGGCUCGCGAGGCCAAUGCUCCAUCAAGAUCUGAGAGUUCGCGAGGGAGGUUGUACUUCAAGAUCUGUGAAGUAACUCGGUCGAAAAACGUGACUGGAGUUAGAUCUGAGAGUGCUUCCAAGAACGAUAAUCAAGAGAUGACCUACUUCCGAUGUUCAUAAAUUGAUUUGAGGAGAGAGGAAUUUUUCCGACAGCCACGUGUCAACCGGCGAUUGGUGAAGCACGGCUUGGCAAGGCGAGGACACGACUCAAGCGUCGACUAGAGCUACGCGUUGGACGUCAGGUGGAGCAACGCAGACACGUGUCGUCUGCAAACCCACAACUGCGAACCGACCCAGAACCAUCAGCACAAACCAACCCGUGAUCCUACAGAGCGAAUUGAGCCACCUACCCAAACAGCUACCAAACCAGACCGCUGACCCGCGACUGCACAGAAUCAACCCGCGUGUGGUACUCGCGCGUGCCACCUGUAACUAGGACCUUCCCCCGGCGUGUGAGGGCCGGUGUAAGGACCAUGUAAGGCCCAUUUUGCUCCGUUCGACUUCUGCUUGCCCAAUUUUCGUCCUUAUUCUAAUUCUAACCAUGUUUUUAUGUGAUUAAAGACCUAAUUGAUUAAAAUUAAUAUUUUUGGA